rnacentral:rRNA from 1 species
UGGGGAAUAUUGGACAAUGGGCGCAAGCCUGAUCCAGCCAUGCCGCGUGAGUGAUGAAGGGCCUUAGGGUUGUAAAGCUCUUUCGCCGACGAAGAUAAUGACGGUAGUCGGAGAAGAAGCCCCGGCUAACUUCGUGCCAGCAGCCGCGGUAAUACGAAGGGGGCGUAGCGUUGUUCGGAAUCACUGGGCGUAAAGCGCACGUAGGCGGAUUGUUAAGUCAGGGGUGAAAGCCUGGAGCUCAACUCCAGAACUGCCCUUGAUACUGGCAAUUCUCGAGUCCGGAAGAGGUAAGUGGAACUGCGAGUGUAGAGGGUGAAAUUCGUAGAUAUUCGCAAGAACACCAGUGGCGAAGGCGGCUUACUGGUCCGGUACUGACGCUGAGGUGCGAAAGCGU